AACCCAUGGUGAGGGCAUCGUCUCAAUAAGUCAUUAUACCUCUCCCAUGUAUCAUAUAGAGUUUUUAAGUUAAUCUAAACGAAGGAAGAGAUAUCAUUCCUCAACUU
rfam:Gossypium hirsutum cultivar TM-1 chromosome 14, whole genome shotgun sequence